AAAUAUAGCCUCACUACCCACUGGCUAAGCAAACAUAGUCUUAAUACCCUUGUGAGCAUGGGACACCUAUUGUUGCGUCUUGUAUUCCUACUACUGAGAUGUCGAAUUUUGAUUUGUAACAUUAUUAUAAUUGGAUUUUGAGUGGGUCACCUUGGCAUUUGUGGGCAGGGGUCAUGGGCCACUAUAGACCAAUAUCCGUCUUCUAAUAUGGCAUCAAAUCAUUAUGUUUGAAAUGAGGUUGGUAUAUUAUUUUGAUUUUUCUAUUGGCCUUAUCUCAACGAUUCAGCAUAAUAAUGACUUGGAAAUUUAUGUGGACGAUGACGUAUCAUCUAAAAUGUUUUUGACAUAACAUUCGGAAUAUUUACCAGGACUCAAAAAUUGACAGAAAAUAAAACCUAUAGCAGGCUUCCAUUUAGGCCAUCCUUGGAAGAGUGGUACGUUCUUAGUGGAGACACGAGAAGAAAAGAAAGAAAGAAGACGGCACACAGCCUCAUAAUUGGCACACAUGCAGACACGGGUGGGCCACGGCUACCCAACUCGUACACCCACGAUUGCCCAAGGAAUCAUCAAAUUUCCAGUGCGUUUCUAGACUAUAUAUCUUAUUAUCCAAUCCAACUCUAGAUUUUUGACUAUCAGCAACUCCACAUAUCUUUCUUAACUUAAGAAUUACGCACCACUGUAGUUUGUCAGACUUGAGCCUGAAUUCAAAAGCAACUUGAAUUGCAAUUGAUUAAACUGGACUUUGUUAAAGCUCAAAGCCA
rnacentral:lncRNA from 1 species